rnacentral:rRNA from 1 species
GACGAACGCUGGCGGCGUGCUUAACACAUGCAAGUCGAACGGAAAGGCCCUGCUUGCAGGGUACUCGAGUGGCGAACGGGUGAGUAACACGUGGGUGAUCUGCCCUGCACUUCGGGAUAAGCUUGGGAAACUGGGUCUAAUACCGGAUAGGACCGCACUUUAGUGUGUGUGGUGGAAAGUUUUUUCGGUGUAGGAUGAGCUCGCGGCCUAUCAGCUUGUUGGUGGGGUAAUGGCCUACCAAGGCGGCGACGGGUAGCCGGCCUGAGAGGGUGUACGGCCACAUUGGGACUGAGAGACGGCCCAGACUCCUACUGGAGGCAGCAGUGGGGAAUACUGCACAAUCGGCGCAAGCCUGAUGCAGCGACGCCGCGGGGUGGAUGAAGGCCUUCGGGUUGUAAACUCCUUUCGCUAGGGACGACGCUUUUUGUGACGGUACCUAGAUAAGAAGCACCGGCUAACUACGUG